GAUGAACGCUAGCGGCAGGCCUAAUACAUGCAAGUCGGACGGGAUUCAGGAGCUUGCUUCUGAUGAGAGUGGCGCACGGGUGCGUAACACGUAUGUAACCUACCUUUAUCAGGGGGAUAGCCUCUCGAAAGAGAGAUUAAGCCCGCAUAAAAUCACAGCACAGCAUUGUGUAAUGAUCAAAUAUUUAUAGGAUACAGAUGGGCAUGCGGAACAUUAGCUAGAUGGCGGGGUAACGGCCCACCAUGGCGACGAUGUUUAGGGGAUCUGAGAGGAUGGCCCCCCACACUGGUACUGAGACACGGACCAGACUCCUACGGGAGGCAGCAGUAAGGAAUAUUGGGCAAAGGGCGGAAGCCUGAACCAGCCAUGCCGCGUGCAGGAAGACGGCCCUACGGGUUGUAAACUGCUGUUAUACGGGAAUAAACCCAGAUACAUGUAUCUGGCUGAAUGUACUGUAAGAAUAAGGAUCGGCUAACUCCGUG
rnacentral:rRNA from 1 species